rnacentral:rRNA from 1 species
CUACCUGCAGUCGAACGGAAACAUGUCUAGCUUGCUAGAUGAUGUCGAGUGGCGGACGGGUGAGUAAUGCUUGGGAACUUGCCUUUGCGAGGGGGAUAACAGUUGGAAACGACUGCUAAUACCGCAUAAUGUCUUCGGACCAAACGGGGCUUCGGCUCCGGCGCAAAGAGAGGCCCAAGUGAGAUUAGCUAGUUGGUGAGGUAAAGGCUCACCAAGGCAACGAUCUCUAGCUGUUCUGAGAGGAAGAUCAGCCACACUGGGACUGAGACACGGCCCAGACUCCUACGGGAGGCAGCAGUGGGGAAUAUUGCACAAUGGGGGAAACCCUGAUGCAGCCAUGCCGCGUGUGUGAAGAAGGCCUUCGGGUUGUAAAGCACUUUCAGUUGUGAGGAAAAGUUAGUAGUUAAUACCUGCUAGCCGUGACGUUAACAACAGAAGAAGCACCGGCUAACUCCGUGCCAGCAGCCGCGGUAAUACGGAGGGUGCGAGCGUUAAUCGGAAUUACUGGGCGUAAAGCGCACGCAGGCGGUUUGUUAAGCUAGAUGUGAAAGCCCCGGGCUCAACCUGGGACGGUCAUUUAGAACUGGCAGACUAGAGUCUUGGAGAGGGGAGUGGAAUUCCAGGUGUAGCGGUGAAAUGCGUAGAUAUCUGGAGGAACAUCAGUGGCGAAUGCGACUCCCUGGCCAAAGACUGACGCUCAUGUGCGAAAGUGUGGGUAGCGAACAGGAUUAGAUACCCUGGUAGUCCACACCGUAAACGCUGUCUACUAGCUGUUUGUGACUUUAAGUCGUGAGUAGCGAAGCUAACGCGAUAAGUAGACCGC